UUGUAGGCAUUUUGUCACAGCGUUAAGAACAGUGACAAAUGCAUCUCUUUAUAUAAAGGUUAAAAGCAGCUGACAUGAAUCUGCUGCGUAGAAAUGGAGGUCUCCACCAGAAGGGGUGGCCCAGAUUAAAGGUGCGAGCCACAACGCCUGGAUCUGGAACUUGCUUUGUCCCAGAUGACCUUGAACUCAGAGAUCUCUCCCUGUUUUAAUCUUCUGGGAUUCAUAGUCACUGUGCCUCAAGAUCUCCAAGCCAAGAUCCAGGUCUGAUGGCUGGAGAAAGGCAGAGAAGUGUUUCGUGGGACAGCACUGAAGACCCCUGGUGCAGGCUGUCACCUGCAGGCUCAGCACUGGUCAUGGACUCUCCCCUCUGCCACCUCCAUCCUUUUAAAGCUCUUGGGCUUCCUCACAGUAGGGAUGAUAAGGGUCCCACCCCACCCCCAAGACCAGGGUUUCUCUGUGUAGCCCUGGCUGUCCUGGAACUCACUCUGUAGACCAGGAUGGUCUUGAACUCAGAAAUCCACCUGCCUCUGCCUCCCAAGUGCUGGGAUAUAAAGGCAUGCGCCACCACUGCCAGGCAGGCUGCUAAGUUUUGAAAGCCAGGGAAUGAAAGCUGUCGUCCUUAAAAGGUGCGCCUGUAGCCUUCCGUUCAUCAUGCCUUCCAUAUUGUCUGAGCUAACAGAGCUACAGUCACAGCACAAAAAGAA